GCAUGACACACCCUUACAGGCAGAGAAGUUUCAAUAAUUGACAAAAUUUGAAUAUAACAAGUCUACAAAAUCUCUUCAGAGAAGUAAGAAUAUGAAGAUUUUAAAUCAUCCAAGCAUAGUGAAGUUGCUUGAAGUCAUUAAAACUGAAAAAAAUUCUACUUAAUAAUGGAGUAUGCAAGUGGAGGUGAUCUAUUUGACUAUAUGGUUGCACAUGGAAGAAUGACUGAAAAAGAAGAAAAAGCUAAAUUUAGGCAGAUCGUGUCUGCAGUACAGUAUGACCACCAAAAGCAGAUAGUUCACAGAGACCUCAAGGCUGAAAAUAUGUUGUUAGAUGCAGAUACAAACAUUAAAAUAGCAGAUUUUUGUUUUAGCAAUGAGUUUACUUUUGACAGUAAAUCAGUCAUGUUUUGUGGUAGUCCUCCAUAUGCAGCCCCAAAGAUCUUCCAGAGCAAGAAGUAUGAUGGGCUGGUAGUUGACAUGU
rnacentral:lncRNA from 1 species